UACGUAGGGUGGCAAGCGUUGUCCGGAAUCGAUUGGCGUAAAGAGCGUGUAGGUGGCUCGGUAAGUCCGCUGUGAAAGUCCAGGGCUCAACCCUGGAAAGCCGGUGGAAACUGUCGAGCUCGAGUCCGGAAGAGGCGAGUGGAAUUCCUGGUGUAGCGGUGAAAUGCGCAGAUAUCAGGAGGAACACCAAUGGCGAAGGCAGCUCGCUGGGACGGUACUGACACUGAGACGCGAAAGCGUGGGGAGCAAACAGG
rnacentral:rRNA from 1 species